AUGGCACUUCUUAUUUAUUCAUCAUUCCUAACAGUAGCAGUUCUCUUAAGUGGUGUUAAUUGUGCAGACCAUGUCUCACAAAAGUCGGUUACAGUAGCACAGCUCGAGGCAGAUUCUGUGAGUAUUCAUUUCAGCUAUACAAUUACAGGUGCUCAAUAUUCCCUACAGUUGUACCGCCAAGAUCCAGGUACACCUCCGAUAUUCUUGAUCUACAUCCCUACAUAUGGAGAGGUCGUGAGAGCGAAAGAUAUUGGUGAUCGAUUCUCUGCAUCUCUGGACACUUCAAACAAGGAGGGAAAUUUCACCAUCAGUAGUCUCCAACUGUCUGACAGCGCGGUGUAUUACUGUGCGCUGAAAGACACAGUGACUGGAAGUAGAGGGAGCCUCGUACAUAAACACCGCUGCAAUGGAAUGACGUGCCAAGUAUGUCAAAGAAAGAACACAGUUCAUGUUACUCGAACAUUAGACCUGGAGUCCCCGUUGACAAAGUUGAUUUCUGAAUAUGACAGUUCCCUCCAGACCCUGCGGAGGGUCACUGGAUCUGAGGGAUUUGGGCUCAGUGAAGAGAUGGAUAAACAAUUACAUUCUUAA